CCCUUAGAUGUUCUGGGCCGCACGCGCGCUACAAUGAUGCAUUCAACGAGCCUAUCCUUGACCGACAGGUCCGGGUAAUCUUUGAAUCUGCAUCGUGACGGGGAUAGAUUAUUGCAAUUAUUAAUCUUCAACGAGGAAUGCCUAGUAGGCGCAAGUCAUCAGCUUGCGUCGAUUACGUCCCUGCCCUUUGUACACACCGCCCGUCGCUCCUACCGAUUGGGUGUGCUGGUGAAAUGUUCGGAUCGGCCGUUUGUCGCGGUUUCCGCGUCAUGUGGCUGAGAAGUUCAUUAAACCCUCCCACCUAGAGGAAGGAGAAGUCGUAACA
rnacentral:rRNA from 1 species